rnacentral:rRNA from 1 species
UACGGGGGGGGCAAGCGUUGUUCGGAAUUACUGGGCGUAAAGGGUUCGUAGGUGGCCUACUAAGUCAGACGUGAAAUCCCUCGGCUCAACCGGGGAACUGCGUCUGAGACUGGAAGGCUUGAGUGCAGGAGAGGAACGCGGAAUUCCAGGUGUAGCGGUGAAAUGCGUAGAUAUCUGGAGGAACACCGGUGGCGAAGGCGGCGUUCUGGACUGCAACUGACACUGAGGAACGAAAGCCAGGGGAGCAAACGGG